AACGAACGCUGGCGGCAUGCCUAACACAUGCAAGUCGAACGAGACCUUCGGGUCUAGUGGCGCACGGGUGCGUAACGCGUGGGAACCUGCCCUUAGGUUCGGAAUAACUCCCCGAAAGGGGUGCUAAUACCGGAUAAUGUCUUCGGACCAAAGAUUUAUCGCAUUUGGAUGGGCCCGCGUUGAAUUAGCUAGUUGGUAGGGUAAAAGCCUACCAAGGCGACGAUCCAUAGCUGGUCUGAGAGGAUGAUCAGCCACACUGGGACUGAGACACGGCCCAGACUCCUACGGGAGGCAGCAGUGGGGAAUAUUGGACAAUGGGCGGAAGCCUGAUCCAGCAAUGCCGCGUGAGUGAUGAAGGCCGUAGGGUUGUAAAGCUCUUUUACCCGGGAUGAUAAUGACAGUACCGGGAGAAUAAGCUCCGGCUAACUCCGUG
rnacentral:rRNA from 1 species